CUGGUGUCCCAGAAUGGCUGCAGCCACGGGACACUGAGACACAGCGCUCUCCCUGUCCGGUGGUCUACCCCGGGGCACAGCUCUCCAGGCGCCCCUCUCUGCAACAUGCUGCAUGGGGGAUUGCUCAGCUGUGUGACACGGGAUCAGGGCCGGCACCACCAUUAGCCAGCUUCCUAUGGGCGCAUGCCACUGGAAGGCGGCAUGCUCCCGCUUCACUUACUUUUUGUGGCACUGGGUUCGGAGGAGGCUCCGGCGGUGGAAUAGAGGACGCUGCAGCUGUGUGGGGAAGUGACGGGCUCGGGGGAUGCCGGUCCACUAUCCACCUGACGGAGACGCCGGGGAGCGGAGGAGGCAGCGGCAGCAGCAAAGCUGAACGUGCUGCUGCUGUGUGAGGAAGUGACUCAGGGCCUUCUGUGAAUAGAGACACCGAGGAGCGGAGGAGGAGGUGUUGGCCGGUCCAGCAUACUGCAGCUGUGUGGGGAAGUGACGGCCCACGGGAAUGCUGGGGCGCAGCACAGACAUAAGUGGUGCCUGCGAUGUUAUAAUCUAUCAAUCAUCCUGGUGACGACUUGCAGAGGGAUACUAGGAUUGGUCAAGCAAAACGGAGGAUGAGCUAUUCUCCUUAUUAGUGCAAUAAUUAAGGACGGAGCCGCUGAGACACUGUAACAUCCUCCAAGAUACAGAGAUUUCGUAAUUAUUGAUCAUCGCUAUCUAUGGCACCUUUCCGGAAGUGUAGAGAUUUAAUUACCCAAGGGUACUCAGGCGCUUUAGGUAUAAGGUGUUUCACCGAGCUGCUGCCUUAAAUUAAGGGGGAGUCACCCCCACAAGAAACUGACGACAGAAGAGGCCAUAAAAGAAGAUUUUUUUCCCCCGACCAAUAAUACCAUCCCCUGAUUUAGUUCUUGAUUAAUGAAAACAUUCUUGUUUACUUUCUAUGGGGUUGUGUCAGCGGCGGCGGGUGUAAGACGCGCCGGCUCCCGGCCGUUGCCAGGCAACGGGGCCGGUGCAUCACUUCCGCCGCUGAGCGUCCGUCUCCGGCGGGUUGCCUAGCAACCGGGGACACUUGGCGGCCGCCCCGCACUCCAGUCCCGGCUUUUACCAGCAGCCGGGACACUGCACAGCUGGACAAUUAGGUCUGGGGGGCUGGUCUGCUGGCUCUCCCAUGAUAGGUCAGAAGGACCUUUUUAUGGGAGCCAGGAUCAGGCAGCCCCGCCGGUGAUAGCUUCCUGUGGAGCUGCUUCCUGCCCCUGGAGAGUUCCUGUACAGCCUUCCAGUCCUGUGACCCUGUAUCCUGAGUCCUGGUUUCCUUAGGGGUUGCUGCUGAACUCAGCUCAAACUGCAGCAUCACGUUCCUGUACUCGGAGCUCAUCACCUGUCUGCCACUGCAGUGCCACUCUGUUUCCUGGA